UAUGUACUCCCUCCGUUCGGAAUUACUUGCCUUGGAUAUGGAUGUAUCUAGAACUAAAAUACAUCUAGAUACAUUCAUUUCUGCGACAAGUAAUUCCGAACGGAGGGAGUGCCAC
rfam:Triticum urartu cultivar G1812 contig341737, whole genome shotgun sequence.